ensembl:lncRNA
AGGUCUUUUGACUCAAAGUCCAGGGCAGUCUGUGAGCCAGAACUUGGUGAAAAGCCCCUCUGCUCUGGGCCCAGGGGUCCCUGGAGAAUUAGAGAAAGCUUGACAAGGAAAGACUUACUAAGAGGACCUCAUUUCUGCCGUGCCAGUCAGGAGUCCUUGGCCGGGGCCCCUUGGAGCUGGCACAGAUAGAUGUGUGCGGAGCCCACCAGGCUCCUCUGUCCAUGGGGAUUCUCCAGGCAAGAAUACUGGAGUGGGUUGCCAUGACCUACUCCAGGGGAUCUUCCCAACCCAGGGAUUGAACCUGCAUCUCUUAUAUCUCCUGCAUUAGCAGAUGGGUUCUUUACCACUGGCGCCACCUGGGGAGCCCCUUGCAGGCGGGCCAACCAGGGAGACAUAGUGGCUUCUGCAUCCAACUCAGAGCAGUCAUGCUGAAGAAAAAAGGAUUAAGGACAAAAAGAGGCUGAUGUGGUCUGCCAGGCUGAUUGGGAUAGAAGGCACGUCCACGGAGAACACAGAUGGGGAUGUGGAAAAUAAAACUCCCCGACCCAAACCCAGAGAAUGGACUUAGAGGCAUGAGGUGCAGCGGGAAGCAAGGCUUUAAGGACAGUGUUGCAAAUGGGGUGUCUUGUGGGCAGGCACACCCAGAGUCCCUUACAAUGGGUUCUUCAGUCGGCAUGCAAGUCCCUCCCCCAGCUCCUCAUUGGCUGAGAACAAAGGGUUAACAAUCUUCUUGAAUGUCACCUGGAUUUACUAUUCUCCCUGCACACUUCUUCCCAUUCUUAUGUUUUGAAUUCACCAAUAGAAUGAGUCCGUGCCAAAAUCCUAGGCAUUCCAUUCUCCUUUUGUCUGGAAUUUUCC